UUUAAUUUGUCCACAUUUAGAAGAAGUUUAUUUGUUUUUAAUUGCUUGCUUUCAGGAAGCAAUUCGCCGACAUAUUUUCCGUAUGCAUAGUGACCUGGGCGUAACCCUCCUCGUAAAAAUCCGGCGAUCGCAAUACGCAUGGAUCUGUCAUUAAAAUAAACAAUUAUCUGAUUGUACAUGUUAAACACGUGCUCAAUACCCAUGCUUUUUGUUAUUUAUUUACUAUAAGGUGACAAUCGGUAAACUUCGGCUUUAAAACACGGCAUUUAAUGAGCAGCCAUAUUUGUUAAAUCAUAACAGACGGAGAGAAAAAAAAAAUUGACGAUUAUACGAU
rnacentral:lncRNA from 1 species